AUUGAACGCUGGCGGCAGGCUUAACACAUGCAAGUCGAGCGGGGGAAGGUAGCUUGCUACCGGACCUAGCGGCGGACGGGUGAGCAAUGCUUAGGAAUCUGCCUGUUAGUGGGGGACAACAUCUCGAAAGGGAUGCUAAUACCGCAUACGUCCUACGGGAGAAAGCAGGGGAUCUUCGGACCUUGCGCUAAUAGAUGAGCCUAAGUCGGAUUAGCUAGUUGGUGGGGUAAAGGCCUACCAAGGCGACGAUCUGUAGCGGGUCUGAGAGGAUGAUCCGCCAAACGGGGACUGAGACACGGCCCAGACUCCUACGGGAGGCAGCAGUGGGGAAUAUUGGACAAUGGGGGGAACCCUGAUCUAGCCAUGCCGCGUGUGUGACGAAGGCCUUAUGGUUGUAAAGCACUUUAAGCGAGGAGGAGGCUACUCUAGUUAAUACCUAGGGAUAGUGGACGUUACUCGCAGGAUAAGCACCGGCUAACUCUGUGCCAGCCGCCGCAGUAA
rnacentral:rRNA from 1 species